rnacentral:lncRNA from 1 species
UGCAGCUUUAGGGAUCUGGUCCACAUACUGAGGCUUAAUGAUAGCCUUUAGGUCAUCUUCCAGGAUCUUGGUGAAAUAGUUUUGUAAUUCAGAACCUCGGAAAUAAGUCAAAAUUUCUUGCCAGUCAGGUGGAUCAUCAUAUUUUCCAAGAUUUGGCUUCUGCUUUCCUGCUAGAAUUUUCAAGGCAGUUGAUUUUCCAAUACCAUUGGUUCCAACCAAACCCAGGACUUCACCUGGACGAGGGAUAGGCAACCUGUGAAGUUUGAAGGCAUUGGCACAGUAUCUGUGUGUUGUUUCUUUCUCCAGGUUGCUCGGUAAGUUAACAAUUGACAAGGCUCCAAAAGGACAUUUCUUGAUGCAAAUCCCACAACCAAUACAAAGUGUUUCAGAGAUCCAUGCUAUUUUGCUCUGUGAUGUGACCUCUAUGCAAAGUUUUCCCAUUCGAACCACAGGACAACUCUUUUUGCAUUCCUGACGGCAUUUCUUUGGCUUACACUUGUCAUGGUUGACGAUAGCAAUUCUUGUUAAUUUGUCUGCCAUAAUGCACAGUUUAUGGUUACGCUCAUUCACCAAUUAUGAGGGUGAUCUGUCUUCCAGAUCGAGAAACGGGGUCCCGCUUCCGGACCGGGCUCAGAAGCCGCCACGGCUGCCAAGCGCGGUGCGGCACAACGUGCUCCCGCCGCCACCCGGCCAAGAUGGCCGCCUCCCCCGCAGGGCGGGGCCUACGCCGCACACCAUAGAGAGGAGAGG